GAUGAAGAACGCAGCGAAAUGCGAUAAGUAAUGUGAAUUGCAGAAUUCAGUGAAUCAUCGAAUCUUUGAACGCACAUUGCGCCCGCCAGUAUUCUGGCGGGCAUGCCUGUUCGAGCGUCAUUACAACCCUCAGGCCCCCGGGCCUGGCGUUGGGGAUCGGCGGAAGCCCCCUGCGGGCACAACGCCGUCCCCCAAAUACAGUGGCGGUCCCGCCGCAGCUUCCAUUGCGUAGUAGCUAACACCUCGCAACUGGAGAGCGGCGCGGCCACGCCGUAAAACACCCAACUUCUGAAUGUUGACCUCGAAUCAGGUAGGAAUACCCGCUGAACUUAAGCAUAUCAAUAAGCGGAGGGA
rnacentral:misc_RNA from 1 species